GACGAACGCUGGCGGCGUGCCUAAUACAUGCAAGUAGAACGCACAGUUUAUACCGUAGCUUGCUACACCAUAAACUGUGAGUUGCGAACGGGUGAGUAACGCGUAGGUAACCUGCCUGGUAGCGGGGGAUAACUAUUGGAAACGAUAGCUAAUACCGCAUAAUAUUAAUUAUUGCAUGAUAAUUGAUUGAAAGAUGCAAUUGCAUCACUACCAGAUGGACCUGCGUUGUAUUAGCUAGUAGGUGAGGUAACGGCUCACCUAGGCGACGAUACAUAGCAGACCUGAGAGGGUGAUCGGCCACACUGGGACUGAGACACGGCCCAGACUCCUACGGGAGGCAGCAGUAGGGAAUCUUCGGCAAUGGACGAAAGUCUGACCGAGCAACGCCGCGUGAGUGAAGAAGGUUUUCGGAUCGUAAAGCUCUGUUGUAAGAGAAGAACGGGUGUGAGAGUGGAAAGUUCACACUGUGACGGUAUCUUACCAGAAAGGGACGGCUAACUACGUG
rnacentral:rRNA from 1 species